UUCUAUUGGAGAGUUUGAUCCUGGCUCAGGACGAACGCUGGCGGCGUGCCUAAUACAUGCAAGUCGAGCGGACCGAAUGAGAGCUUGCUCUUGUUUGGU
rnacentral:rRNA from 1 species